UACGUAGGGACCAAGCGUUGUCCGGAAUCAUUGGGCGUAAAGCGCGCGUAGGUGGCCAUUUAAGUCCGCUGUGAAAGUCAGAGGCUCAACCUUUGAAAGCCGGUGGAUACUGGAUGGCUAGAGUACGGAAGAGGCGAGUGGAAUUCCUGGUGUAGCGGUGGAAUGCGCAGAUAUCAGGAGGAACACCAAUAGCGAAGGCAGCUCGCUGGGACGUUACUGACACUAAGGCGCGAAAGCGUGGGGAGCGAACAGGA
rnacentral:rRNA from 1 species